CAGGUAGAAAAAAAUAUACAAGAUAAUUUUUUUCCAACAAUUUUGUCAAAAUAGAUAUUUCACCUUUUCUUUCCUCAAAGCAUUUGGCUAUUCAGUGUCAUUGGUCUCAGAGGCCAGCAGUUAUUGGAGAUGUCCUUCAAGUCUAUAGUGGUUCAGAAGGGAGGGCUAUUAUCUUCUGUGAGACCAAGAAGAAUGUAACUGAAAUGGCAAUGAAUCCACAUAUAAAACAGGUAAGUUUUUUAAAACAUUUUUUCUAACUGAGCUGAUGAGAUGAAUAACUGAGGAAAAAUAUUGUCAGUUGGAUAGUGGUGCAUGCCUGUAAUCCCAGCAACUUUUGAGGCUGAGACAGGAGGAUUUUAAAGUUCAAGGCCAGUCUCAGCACUUAGCAAGACCCUCAGCAACUUACUGAGACCUUGUCUUAAAAUAAGAAUGGCUGGAUAUGUAACUCAAUGCCAAAGUGCCCCUGGGGGGUUCAACCCCCCAGUACCAAAAACAAAUAUAAAUAUAUUUUGUCCUCUGGACCAAACUCGAUAAGUCAUUCUCAGAAUUGUGACUAAUUUAGAAAAAAGUUAUAUCCAGCCUCUUAUAACUUGUUAAGUCUGGAGAAAAUUUUUUAAAAUAUUUUUUUAGUUGUCAAUGGACCUUAAAAUUUAUUUAUAUGUGGUUUUGAGAAUCAAACCCAAUGCCUCACACAUGAUGGGUGAGCUCUUUACCACUGAGCCACAAUCUCAGCCCCUAGGACAAAAAUUUUUUAAGAAAUAAAUUUUAUUGUGUAUAUUUAAAACUAACAAUAUGAUGUUAGGAGAGAAUUGUGUCAGUUGUUAUUAGGAGUAUUUUUUAAGGCUUUGUAAAUGUGAUCUAGAAAAUAUAAAGGUUGAAACAAAAUUAAUUUCUGUUGGUAAGAAUGGAUAAUGUUUUAGAGUUGUGUUAUAAGAACAAAUUACAAAUAUUUAUUGAAUGAAUACAUUAAUAUAAAUUGUAUGUGUUUAUCAUCCAGCUUUAUUAUCUUAUUUUAUCUGAAUGCUUGCUUACUUAUUUCUUUCUCCAAAAUUGUUUUGAUGUAAGCUCUAGAUAUUAUUACAUUCAUAAAUAUUUGGGUAAAUAUCUCUUAAAGAAAAGGAUUAGCACAGUGAAUUGGAAGGAUGGAAAGUUCAAGAUCCUGUCUCAAAAAAUAAAUAAAUAAAUAAAUAAAAGGGAUGGGAAUGUAUUUCAGUGGCAAAGCCCACCCUGGUUUCAAUCUCCAGUACGGAGUGGGUGAAAAAAAAGUUAAAAAGUCAAACCAAACCAAGCCAAAAAAAAAGGGCUUGGGGUAUAGUUCAGUGGUAGAGAGCACCUGCCUAGCAUGUGGGAGGUCUUGGGUUCAUGCACACAUACACAAAAACUACCACAACAAAAACAAGCCCCACAAUGCUGUUAUCAUUAACAAAAUUAACAGUAAUUAAUACUUUCAAAUGCCAAUUGGGUUCAAAUUUUCAACUGCCCUAUGAAUGCUUCUUUUAUUGUUUUCUUGACUCUGGAUCCAAAUAAGAUUCUUACAUUCUUACACGUUUAGUAUGUUAGUUUCUCCUGUAUCUAUUCUUCCUUGUAGUUUUUGCUGUUUAUGAAACCAAGUUUCAGUCUGGAAUACUGCUUCCCUGUGAUGUUAUUUAACUUGUUUCUCUGUUUUUUAUACUUUCUGAAACCUGAUUUUAAAAUCAGAGCAAAAAAUACUUCAUAGGUUGUUUACUUCUAGCAGAAGGUGUAUGAUUUCUAGUUCCUUUUAUCUUUGUGAUGCUAACAUUCAUCAAUGUGACAUUCCUUAUGUCAAUGUCUCUCUAGUCAUUUUUGUUGUGUAUAACUUGGUACUUAGUAGAUUCCUGAGAAAGGUCUUAUGAAAAUGAUAUUACUUGUUGAUAAUAGCUUGUUUGUGACUUUAUACUUGAGAGUUAUUUUGGCUAGUCAUAAAAUUCUUGGUUCAAAUUUUCUUUUCUUGGGACUAGGGUUGUGGCUCAGUGAUAGAGCGCUCGCCUAGCACAGGUGAGGCCCUGGGUUCGAUCCUCAGCACCAUAUAAAAUUAAUUAAAAAUUAAUUAAUUAAGGAUAUUGUAUCCAACAGCAACUAAAAAAUAAAUAUCUUUAAAAGUUUUUUUUUUCUUUAGUAUCUUAAAAUGUUAUUCCAUUGUUUUUGGAAUAAUACAUUGCUAUAAAAAGUCAGUUGCCAAUCUGACUUUUUAAAAAGUGAUUUUCCUUAAAAAAAUCAGCACUUUCCCUGGGCAUAGAGGCACAGGAUAUAAUCCCAGGGGCUCUAGAGGCUGAGGCAGUAGGAGGAUCAAAAGUGCAGAGCCAGCCUGAGCAAUUUAGUGAGGCCCCAAGGAACUUGAUGAGACCCUGUUUCAAAAAUAAAAAAAUAAAAUGGGCUAGGGAUAUAGCUUACUGGUAAAGUGCCCCUGAGUUUGAUUCCCAGUAAACCCUCCCUUUCUCAACUCCCACUCCACCCACAAAAAAAAUCAGUAGUUUUGCGUGCUCCGUUAGCCAGUUCUUGUGGUUUCAGCCAGCUACUCAGGAGGCUGAUGCUGAAGAAUUAUUUGACCAGGAGUUUGAAGUCAGCCUGGGCAACAACAUAGUCAUACUACAUCUCAAAAAAGAAAAUCAGUUGGCGCUGUGGCAUAUGCCCAUAAUCCCAGGGUCUGGGAAGGCCGAGGCAGGAGGAUUCCAGUACAAAGCCAGCUUUAGCAAAUUAGCGAAGCCCUGAGCAACUUAGUGAGACCCUGUCUCAAAAAAUAAUAAGGGCUCAGUUGUUAAGUGCCUCUGGGUUCAGUCACACACACAAACACACACCAAAAAAACCCCAAAAAUGUAGUUUUAAUAUAUAUAUUAUAAAUUUUAUCUUUGUGAUGCUAACAUUCAUCAAUGUGACAUUCCUUUUAUAUAUAUAUAUAUAAUUUUUAUUUAUUUUUUUAAGGUUUAAGACAGGGUGUAGCUAAGUUGCCAAGCUGGAUGUUGCAAUCCUCCUGUGGGAAUAUUAUUCUGCUUCCCCUAUCUCCAUUCCUAAUUACUUUCUUCUUUUUUUGAAUUUUUUUUUUUUUUUUUUUUAGUUGUAGAUGGGCACAAUGCCUUUAUUUAUUUAUCUUUAUAUGGUUCUGAGGAUCAAACCCAGGGCUUCACACAUGCUAGGCAAGUGCUCUGCCACUGAGCCCCAGCCCCAGCCCCAUCCAUCCCUAAUUACUUUCUAUGGGAUUUGAUUAGGACCUUUACUACUGUUCAUUUUUAGAUGAAAUAUAUCUUUCUGAACUUUAAAUGGGAAAGCAUGGGUUAGAAUAGUUUUCUAGAUUUGCAGGUUUAGAACUUUUGUUGUUUUUGAUAGUGUUUAAAAAUAUGGACAAAUAUCUCAAAAAAGCUGUUUAAAAAGAAAAGGUCUCUUGCUAGGUGUGGUGCACAUGCCUAUAAUCCCAGCAGCUCAGGAGGCUGAGGCAGGAGGAUUGCAAGUUCAAAGCCAGCCUCAGAAACAUUGAGAUGUUAAGCAACUCAGACCUUGUCUUUAAAUAAGGCUGGGGAUGUAGCUGAGUUCAAUCCCUAGUUAAGGCGCCCACCCCCCACCCCCAAAAAAGAGAAAAAGUCUUCCAUUUUCUGAGCUCCAGCUAUGUUCUUCCUCACUUUUAUCUGGAUCUUUUCUUUGCUCUUGUUAUUCUUGUCUUCCUGGGUUUGGAUUUUAGGUCCAAUACUUUCUUCUUGGUGUGGGCCUUCAUUCUGGAAAGGGAGCAUUGAUUAUAGUGUUUGUAUAUGGCUGAACACCAGAGCUGCUGUAGCUCCUACAGACCUUACCGUUGGUGCCUUGGCACUCUCCCAUUGUCACCUGCUACGUGUAACAAUUUGCUUGAGAAUAUGCUUUCCAGAGAAUGCUGCUUCUUAGGUCACAGAAAUCCCCUGCCCCACCCCAUACAUACAGGUUUUGCCCUAUUCUGAAAAAUUACUAGAAUGCGUUUUCAUUUAAUUUUUUUGUUUUUGUUAUUUUGGUACUGGGGAUUGAACUCAGGGGCACUCAACCACUGAGCCACAUCCCCAGCCCUAUUUUAUAUUUUAUUAGAGACAGGUCUCACUGAGUUGCUUAGUGCCUCACUUUUGUUGAGCCUGGCUUUGAACUCGUGGUCUUCCUGUCUCAGUCUCCUGAGCUGCUGGGAUUACAGGUGUGUGUCACUGUGCCUGGAACUAGUUUUGUCAUAGAUGUUCUCUGUGGAUUUUUAAUUUUCUUAUUCUAGUUGCUUUUUUUUUUUUGAGCAGGGUGAUACUGGGAUUUGAACUCAGGGCCACUCAACCACUGAGCCACAUUCCCAGCCCUAUUUUGUAUUUUAUUUAGAGACAGGAUUUCAUUGAGUUGUUAGCAUCUUGCUUUUUCUGAGGCUGGCUUUGAACUUGCCUCAGCCUCCUGCACCACUGGGAUUAUAGGCAUGUACCACUGCGCCUCACCUGCUAUUUGUUUUUUUUUUUUUUUUUUUUUUUUUUUUUUUUUUUUUUUUAUUAUUAUUAUUAUUAUUAUUAUAUGUAUGUGGUGCUGGGACCUUGAACCCAGGGCAUUGUGUAUACAAGACAAGCACUCUACCAACUGAGAUAUAUCCCCAGCCCACUAUUUGUUUUUAUGUGAGAACUGAUGAAAUACUAUGCUGUUACCAUCUUCUACAGUGUUAUUUUUACUAAUUAUAUAGCAUUGGUUGUCAUGUUUAAAACAUCUGAUAUAAACAGAUGGAUGCUUAAUAAUGAAAAUGUUGAGGUGGUUGAUGAUAUUCCCUGUUAUUGCUUUAGGACCUUCAAUAGUAACUGUCCUAGAAGUCAGUGCUUCUGAAGGAGGAAUUGCCUUGCUACAAAGACCCCCCCCAGUGACAAUAAUCAAUUUCUGUGGUUGGAAUAUGGAAUUUUUCUUCUUCAUGAUGACUGCUGUUUAGGCAGAAAGUAGUAGCAGCAUCUCAUUAUGAGGAAUGUUGAGUUUUAUGGACAAACUAGGGAGUCUAAAUGGUUUAUUUUUAUUAUGUAUUUACUUAUUUUGGGGUAUUAAGACUUGAACCCAGGGGCUAGCUUAUGCUAGACAUGCAUGAGCUACCCCUAGCACCUAGUUUCUCUGUUUUUAAAUUAUAACCUCACUUAAUUUUUUUCUAUAGGUCAAGUUUUACUUGGUUUUCUCAAUAAAAUGCCUUGUAAAUUCUCAACAAAUUCUUUCUCUCUUUUACAUACAUACAGUCUUUUGGGAAACAGUUAUUUAAAGUUUGGAAACCUGCCGGUGUGGUAGUGCACACCUGUAAAGCCAGCUUCUUAGAAGACUAAAGCAAGAGGAUCACAAGUUUGAGGCAGCCCUGGGCAAUUUAGACCCUGUCUCAAAAUAAAAAAUAGUGCUCACUUUGGUAGCACAUAUACGAAAAUUGGAAUGAUACAGAGAAGAUUAGCAUGACCCCUGCACAAGGAUGACAUGCAAAUUCAUGAAGUGUGCCACAUUUGAAAAUGAAAAAUAAAGAGUCUGGGGAUGUAUCUCAGUGGUAGAGUGCCCUGGGGUUCAAUCCCCAGUGCUACAAAAAGAAAGGAAAAAAAAAAGUUGGACAUCUGAAAAUCAUCACUGAUACCAAGAAUGUAAUAUGUCCUUUUUAGGGCUGAUUAUCAAGUUAAAAAAACCUGUGUUGAGUUUUUUAAAAAGUGAAUUUGAAAAAUUGACUAUGAAAACUGCCCAACUCAUUUAAAGUAUGGUAGCUUAUAUAUAUAGCUGUUUUCUUUUUUGAAACAGUUUUCUUAAUUGAUUCCAUGAUAAUCGUAUGAGUUUUCCUCUUCUGGCUAUCUUUCUGUGUUUUUCUGAGAUCUUUUUCUGUUCUUGCCCAUACCAUACCUUUUCCCCCGCUUCCUUUCUGUGUUGGGCAUAGAACGCAGGCCCUCAUAUAUGCUAGACCAAGUGUUCUACCACUGGGCAGCACUCCCAGUCCUUGUCUUUCAAUACUGGCGUUCCUCUCAGUUGUGUUGGGAGUGACAAGGAACAGGUGAAAUAGCCCUUAUCCAAAAUGUUUGGGAGGUCAUCUUGGUGCUUAAAAUUUUUUAGAUUUCAUAGGGCUGGCAGUUUAGCUUAGAGGUACAGCUGUUGCCUCUCAUGCACAAGGCCCCCAGCACCAUGAAAAAGAAAGAAGUUGGGGGAUGUUUCAGCUAGGUGUGCUGAGGCAUCUCUCUAACCCCAGCUAUUCAGGGAACCAAGGCAGGAGGAUGACAAGUUUGAGGACUGCCUUGGCAGCUCUGUAAGACCCUAUCUCAAAAUUGAAAAACUGAAAAGGACUGGAAUGUAACCUAGUAGUAAAGUGCUUGCACAGCAUGUUGAAGCCCUGGGUUCAAUCCCUAGUACUACAAAACAAACAAACUCAAUUUAGAUUUCAGAGUAUUUUGGAUUUCAGGUUUCUUUUCCUUUUGUGUGGUAUUGGGGAUUGAACCCAAGUAUUUUACCUCUAAGAUACAUUGCUAGCCAUAAUUUUUUUUUUAGUUGUAUAUGGACACAAUAUCUUUAUUUUGUUUAUUUAUUUUUAUGUGGUGCUAAGGAUCAAAUCCAGUGCCUCUCAAGCAAGCGCUCUACUGCUGAGCCCCAAUCCCAUUCCUAGCCCUUUUGAAAACUAUUUUGAGACAGGAUCUCCUGUCUCCAUAAGUUUCCAAGGCUGCCCUUGAACUUGUGAUCUUCUGCCUCAGCCUCCCAAGUUACUGGGAUCACAGGCAUGAGCUACUGCCCCCAGGUGUACUUCCGAUUUUUUAAUUAAGGAUAUUCAACCUGAUAGCAUAGACUUCAGAGUCAGAUCAAGUUUUAAAUCCCAGUGUACUACCUUCUAGUUAGGCAGCUUGAGCAAAGUUACUUUGUGUUUCUGUGCCUGUGCUUCCUUUUUUAAAGAAGUGGUAUUAAAAAUCACUUUUGUUUUGUUUUGUUUUACAGUUUCAACGUUUCAAUGAAACCAUUUAUUUGAGACGUUUAGCACAAUAGUUUUGUAGCAAGCAGUCCAUAAAUGUAGAAAUAUAGAAAUAUAGGUAUGUAUGCAUAGAUACACAUAUCUAAUCACUCCUAUGACUUUAGUCAUUGUGUGUUUGCUUAUAAUCCCAAAUCUUUCUUCAGUUAGAUAUGUCUUUCCAAUACUAGGCCUAUAUUUAUUCUAUUGGCCACAUAAUCCCCAACUCAUUAUGACCUAAAAUGAAUUCAUUCUUUUUUACACUCCAAUAGCCCCUCAACUGGCUCCAUUGUUCCCUAUCUUUGAAUGAUAUAUCUACCUAUAGCCCAAGUGAAACUUAUGUAUUACCCCUGAUUUUUCUUCCUCACCAUUUGCAAUUCAGUUAUCAAGGAGUAUUUUUGCAUACUGUUUCCUGUGGUUUAUUAGUUUAUUUUCUACUCCCAUUGCAGAAACUCAAAACCUGGGAAUCAUGAAUGUCUUUUUUUCUUUGUACUUCAUUUCUAUUCUCUAUACCAAAUCCUCCCAAUUUUGUCAAGUAAUAGUUUUCAAAUUCAGUUACCCUAUUUACCUUUCUAGCCUCAUCUUAUUAUCACAUUUGCUCCCCAUUUUUUGCACUAUCUUCAUACAUGUUAUACUUCAUGUCACCACAGGGCUCUUGAACUUGCAGUCCACCUCACUUAUCAAGUUCCUCUUGUCUUUCACAUCUCAGUUCAAAGCAUCACUUUUCAGGAAAUCCUUCCGUGCCCCAAACUAGGUCAGGUUUGGAUUAGUGCUUCUUGAUUCUUAGACUGAUGCUUCAUUCUUUACACUUGCUGGAUAAAUUUAUUUCUGUGUCUAAUUAUUUGUUUCAUGUCCUUCUCCACUACUGGAGUAUGAAGACCAUAAAGACAGGCAGUCUUACCAUGUUCACUUUUUUUUUUUUUUUAAGUGGUGCUGGUGAUUGAACUCAGGGCCUCACACACUCACACAUACUGGACACUUUACUACUAAGCCAUAUCCUCAGUCCCCUUGUGGGCCUUUUAAAUCCUGAUGCCUGAUAUGUAGUAUGUCUCUAAAUAUUUGUUGAGUGAAUAGGUGGUCAUUAUCACUAUCCUAGGGUCUGACAUCUCUUCUAAAUUUUUGCAGUUUGUGUUUUGUCUAUAGAUAUAGUGAUAUAGUGUAUAGAUACACUAAUUGGAGUAUUCCUUCUAUAUUAUAAAUGUGUUUGUGAUAGUUUUCUUUAGAAUCAUUCAAUUGUUUCACCUUGUCCUUAAGAUAAAGUUCAUAUUCCUUUCCCAGUCUCAUCUCUUAUCACUUACCCUUUCUUAAUCUGUUUCAGUAGUAGUGUACUACAACAUUUGUAGUUCCCCAGACAUACUAUUUAUGUAUGAUAUUUCUAACCUGAAACUUCCUAGCUUUCUGUUCUUUCAUUUACAUGACCCCUAGUUCUUUUUUUUUUUUUUAAUAUUAUUUAGUUGUUGAUGGACCUUUAUUUUAUUUACUUAUUUACAUGUGGUGCUGAGAAUUAAACCCUGCCUCACACAUGCUAGGCAAGUGCUCUACCGCUGAGCUACAACUCCAGCCCCAACUCCUAGUUCUUUAUUUAUCAUUCAGGUCUCAGUUUCAGACCUGUUUCCCACUUAGCAAGUAUGAGGCCCUGGGUUCAAUGCCUAGUAACUCCAAAAUAAUAAUAGUCAGAUUUCCCCUUAGAUAUUUCUGUAGCAUGAUGUAAAUAUAUACCUGUCGCGGCACAUAUCAUACUGUUAGGUGUUUUUUUUUGUUUGUUUUGUUACUGGGGAUUGAACUCCAGCACUCAACCACUGAGCCACAUCCCCAGCCCUAUUUUGUAUUUUAUGUAGAGAUAGGAUCUCACUGAGUUGUUCAGUGCCUCGCUUUUGUUAAGGCUGGCUUUGACCUUAUGAUCCUCUUGCCUUGGCCUCCUGAGUCACUGUGAUUACAAGCAUGCACCACAGUGCCCAGCUAUUGUACUGUUUUGAAGAUACCUAUCAAAUUGUGUGUUCUAAACUAUUUCUUUAUGAAUGUUCCAGAAACUAAUACAAUCUCAGGCACAUAGCAGGUACACAGUGAAUUCACUCAUUAUGCAGUAAGUUUAGAUACUAAGGCAUGUACUGUUGGGGUUAAAUCAUUGUUAUGAACUUUUUAAUAGUGGCAAGAUGAACUUUUUAAUAGUGGCAAGGAAUACAAGGUAAUUUAUUCAUAGUAUUAGGAAAAUUAUUUGGAGAACAAAUGGAAGAUCAACCUAGUUUAAAUAGGUUCAGCUUUGCUAAAAAUAACAGAAGUGCAAUAGUGGUGCACACCUGUAAUCCUAGUGACUAGGGAGGCUGAGAUGGGAGGAUCUCAAGUUCAAAAUCAGCAUCAGCAACUUUGUGAAGACCUAAGCAACUUAGCAAGACUCUGUCUCAAAAAAUAAAAAGGGCUGGGGAUGUGGCUUAGUGGUUAAGCAUCUCUGGUUCAAUCCCCAGGACUCCACUAAAAAAUAAUAAUAAAUAAAUAAAUAAAUUACAAAAGUACAAAUUAAAACAGCAUUGGGGAUUUUUUUUUCCCCCGCAGUACUGGUAUUGAAGCAAAGUACUUACUCUAGCUCACCCUUUUGUAAAUUUUGAGAAAAGGACUCACUAAUUGCCCAUGCUGCUCUAGAGCUCAAGAUUCUCUUGUUUCAGCCUCUUUAGUAACUGGGAUUACAAGUGUGUGCCACCAUUGCCUGGCAGAAAGUUAUUUUUGCCUAUUAGAUUAACAAAGGUUAUCAUUUAUAAUAUAUGGGCAGGUAGGGUAUGAUGAAAUAAACUCUUGCAGUAUAUAAAAAGUUAAUGGGGGCACAACUUCUUUUUAUAAAAAUUAGUCAGUAGUUAGUAAGCUGUUCAAUGUUCUUCUUAUUUUUUUUUUUUUUUUUUAGAGAGAGAGAGGGAGAGAGAAUUUUUUAAUAUUUAUUUUUUUUAGUUUUCGGGGGACGCAACAUCUUUGUUUGUAUGUGGUGCUGAGGAUCAAACCCGGGCCGCACGCAUGCCAGGCGAGUGCGCUACCACUUGAGCCACAUCCCCAGCCCCUAUUAUUAUAUUUUUAUUUACUUUUUUUAUGGGUGGUUCCUGGGGAUUGAACCCAGGUCCUUGGGCAUGUGAGGCAAGAACUCUACCAACUCUGAGCUAUAUCUCUAGACCCUCAAUGUUCUUUUUUUUUUUUUUAUGGUUCUGGGGAUUGAACCCAGAUGUGCAUGCUAGGCAUCUGCUUUACCACUGAGCUACAUUUCUAGCCCCAAAUGUUCAUUAAUUUUGAACCAGAAAUUCAACUUCUAGACAUAUAAUCUUUUGAAAUACACAUAUACAGAAGUAUCCAGAAAUAUAAGUACAAGUUUGUUCACUACAGUGUCGUUUCUAAAGGUGAAAAUUUGGAUAAAACUCAAAUGUUCAUCAGUGGGAUAUUGUUAAAGUAAAUGCCACUCACUACAUCCAUAUGUAAAAACUGUAUUUAAAGAUAGUUUUUAAUAAUUAAGUAAAGUUGCCUCUAUGGAUCUGAAAAAAGGUUUAUAUUAUAGUAUUAAAAUUUUUAAGUAGGUUGCAAAACAGUAUAUAUAAAAUAUGAUUCCUUUUUAUACAGAAACACUGUGCCCGUGGUUUAGGCACAGUGGUAUAUGCCUGUAAAUCCCAAGAACUCAGGAGGCUGAAGCAGGAGGACCCCAAGUUUGAGCCUAGCCUGGGCAACUUAGCAAGACUCUGUCUCAGAUUUUAAAAAGAGUUCGUUACUUAAAAAGUCUGGGUAUGAAGCUCAGUGGUAGAGUGCCCCUAGGUUCAAUCUCUAGUACUUAAAAAAAACAAAAACCCUAAUACCCAAAAAUAUAAAACUGUGUUAUCUGUUAGUGUAUGUAGAUAACAUGGGAUAAUAUGUAUAUGUAUUUAAAAAAAAAAUCUGCUGGCUGGGGAUGUAGCUCAGUGGUAUAGUGCUUGCCUGGCAUGAAUGAGGACCUGAGUUUAGUCCCCAGCACUCUAAGAAAAUAAACAAAAAAACAAUGACAGAGUGUUAGGAAUGAAUUAUUUCCUUUUUUUUUUUUUGGUACCAGAGAUUGAACCCAGUGACAUUCAACCACUGAGCCACAUCCCCAGCCCUUUAUUAAAAAUUUGAGACAGAGUUUUGCUAAGUUGCUUAGGGUCUCGCAAAGUUUCUGAGGCUGGUUUUGAACUUGAGAUCCUCCUGCUUAGCCUCUUGAGCUGCUGGAAUUACAGGCAUGUAGCAGUAAAUUAUUUCUAAGAGGGUGAUCUUAGGGACACUUUUAUGUUUUAGUUAAAUAUUUUUAUAAUGUUUGAUUUUUAAAAAAAAAAAAAAAAAAACCAGCAUGCAUUGUUACAGUCAUUGAGAAAAGGAAAUUAAAAGAUAAAAAGAGCAUUGACUGAAUGAUGUUAGGGUGCUAUCAGUUGCAAGUAUGAACUGUAUAUGUAAUUGUGAUUCUUUUUUCAAUAGAAUGCUCAGUGUUUGCAUGGGGACAUUGCACAGUCACAAAGAGAAAUUACACUAAAAGGCUUCAGAGAAGGUAGUUUCAAAGUUUUGGUGGCAACCAAUGUGGCUGCCCGUGGUUUGGACAUUCCUGAAGUUGACCUGGUGAUUCAAAGUUCUCCUCCACAGGUAGGAAAUGGGAUUUGGUCUGGGGAAAACAAGAGCAGUUUUAUAAAUUGCUAUCUUAUUUACAAGUAUUGCUUGAAAUAUGAAAAAUAUGUCCAUCAUUCUUGCUUUCAGGUGUUUUUUUGUUACUAUGGUGUUAAAUUGAUCCGAAUCUGAUGGCCUUUUCAGUGAUUAACUUCACUUUUUGAAUUUGAAAUUUGGAUCAACAAAAUCAUAUAAAUGAAUUAUAUAAAGUUUAUGUUAAGAACUCUGGAAGAGAUGGUUAGAAAGCUUAAAACCAUCCCCUGUAUCCCAAAAUUCUAGCAUAUAAAUUAUUUGGCAUGUUGAAAAGCACAACAGGAUUGAAAUAAAAAUUUAAUUAUUGUUAUUUUAUUUCAUUAUUUGGAUGUUGGGAUGACUGUGGAGCUUGUCAUAAUUUUAAAAAGUGUUUUCCUUUUUUAAUUUUCAGGAUGUUGAGUCCUAUAUCCAUCGUUCUGGACGCACAGGUAGAGCUGGUCGGACCGGAAUUUGCAUAUGUUUUUAUCAACCAAGAGAAAGAGGUCAACUAAGAUAUGUGGAACAAAAAGCAGUAAGUAAAGUUGAAUUAUUUCAGGCUUAUUAUCUAAAUGGUGCCUUAGAAAAGGGCUCUUUUUAUAUUUGUUCUCACAAAUAGAUCUUCUUAACUUUUCUCAGUUUAAGCUGCAUUUGGAUGUGAAGCAUGUGGGAGCUAAAUUUAUAUUAGCUGCAAGACUGUUUUAAUACAGCUUUUAUUGUGAAGAUAGAAGAGCUGCCUUUCUCAUUUUUCUCUUGAAUUUCUCCCUUGUUAUUGAAAUAAGUGUGUUGCGAUUUCAUACACCAUUACAGAAUUAUAAAUGGGUGACUGUGACAUUGUUUUGGUAUAAUAAUUUAAAAUUAAAAUUAUAUUUGCCAUAAUAUAAUUAUGUAAUAGCCAGUGUCUAUAAAAAUUGUACAAUUUCUGUGUUCCAGAUUUUUUUGUAGUAUUUCACAUUUUCUCCUAUUUUAUAAUAUUUUUAUAUACUAUCUCAUAAACUUUGUAAAGUGAGAUGGGAGUAAUAAGGAAAAAAGUUGAUUGAUUUAAAUAAUGUUCUUUUUUUUUUUGAAUCAGCUUUGUUUUGCAAGUCAAAUUCCAUAAUUGUAACUAAGGGUCAAUUCAAAAAAAUUGUUUUCACUUUUUGAAAUUUAUAAUAGAUAAUUUAUUAGAAAAAGCAGAUCUUUUUAUCCACUAAGACUUGGAAAUCUUCCAAGAAAUGGAAAUUCAACAAACUAUAUUAGUUUAGGAAUUAAUUGUAACAAAUUCCAUUUUUCUUUAAUGUAAUUCUUUCAUUUUCAGGGAAUUACUUUUAAACGUGUAGGUGUUCCUUCUACAAUGGAUUUAGUUAAAUCUAAAAGCAUGGAUGCCAUCAGGUAUGCUUUCUGACCUUGCUGAAUAAUUUUUGCUUUUGUAUUAGGCUAUUCAUCUUUAAGCUCUUCUAGUUCAAAUAUCAGAAAAUUUUAAUCACCAGUUUUACCAGCAGACAUUUAGUUAUAUUAAUAUAUGAAAACGUUACUCUUUCUUUUCCCAUUCAUUCUCUCAUCUUUUUUCCCUGUCAUGACCAAGAAAAUUUACUAUUUUUAAACCGUAGGUCUCUGGCUUCUGUUUCUUUUGCUGCUGUUGAUUUUUUCCGACCAUCAGCUCAGAGACUGAUAGAAGAGAAAGGAGCAGUGGAUGCAUUGGCUGCAGCAUUAGCCCACAUUUCUGGUGCAUCAAGCUUUGAACCACGGUCUUUGAUCACCUCUGAUAAGGUAGAAGUCUGUGAAAUAAUUGUAUUUGGUUGGGAAAAGGGUGAAAUUGAGCUAUAGCAGUAACUGCAUAAUCAAUGAGUGUUGCAUUUACUCCCUUCAAUAAAUUGCACUUUCUGUGCAGAGAAAAUUGUUUUGCUCUAUUAGAAAUUGACUUUCUCAUUUUCCUCCACCCCUAAAUUUUUGGGGGGGUGUGGUGGAGGCAGUAUCUGGGAUUGAACUCAGGGGCACCCGACCAAUGAGCCCCCAUCCCCAGACCUAUUUUGUAUUUUACUUAGAGACAAGGUCUCAAUGAAUUGCUUAGUGCCUCACUUUUGCUGAGGCUGGCUUUGAACUUGUGAUCCUCCUUUCUCAGCCUCCCAAGCCACUGGGAUUAAAGGCUUGCACUACCACGCUCUGCUAAAUUUUUCUUGACAGCCAUCUUCCAGAUUUUCAAGCCUAUAGAAAAAAAAAUUGAAAGAAUAUUGCAAUAAAUAAUGACCUAGAUUCAACAACUGUCAAUAUUGUGUUACAUUUGCUUUGUUUUUGAAUAUACUUUUUUUUUUUUUUUUGCUAAACCAUUUGGAAGUAAGUUGAAACAUUAUGACAUUAUUCCUAAGUAUUUGCUUCUUCUAAUGAUGAAGAUUCUUGUCUACAUAAUCACAAUAUCAUAGUCUCACCUACAAAAAUGAGCUAGGGAAUAAAGCUCAGUUGGGUAGAGUGCUUGCCUUGCAUGCACAAAGCCCUGGGUUCAAUCCCCAGCACCACCAAAAAAAUGUUAUAGUUCUACAUUAAUCAUCUUAUAUCUAAUAAAUAUGCAGAUUUGUUUAUUUCAAAAAUGUGUAUGUGGAGUAAAAUAUAGGAAAUCCUCACAUUGCACAGCACUGUGCAAACUGAAACUUGUAUAACAGAAUCUAUACUUCAUUUUGUUGCUAUGAAAUCAUGCAAAGUGAGAAACAGAUUCUGUGCAGGUGACAUCAUAACAUAGUAGAAUAUGAAGUAGGGAUUCUACGUGGAAGGGUCUGUGUGUAUAACACUGACUGACAUGGCCCACUGCCAGGUUGGUGUCAGAUAUCAAAACUUAUCACAUCAAUAAUCCCAAUGGUUUGGGCUGGGGAGGCUGAGAAUUGCGAGUUCAAAGCCAGCCUCAGCAACUGCAAGGCACUAAGCAACUCAGUGAGAUCCUGUCUCUAAAUAAAAUACAAAAUAGAGCUGAGGAUGUGGCUCCGUGGUCGAGUGUCCCUGAGUUCAAUCCCUGGUACCAAAACAAACAAACAAAAAAACACAUAAGAGCCAUUGGUAGCAAGUGGUUUAAAGAUUUACUUAUCUGGGUAUAAGUGAGCAGAAUCCCAGUAUGCAGAGACUCAUCAGUAAAAUCUCUCUGAUGUAGAGAAAGACAAGAGUGCACAUGAAUUUGGUCCUGGAACCUUUAUAAGACAAUAAUAGCCUGUUGUCAGGAUAUUAGAAUGAUAGGGCAGAGUAAUUCUGGGCAGCCAUCCCUGUAGCCGGGAGGAGGGAGAAAUGGGGCAGGGCAGAUAAAUUUGCUUGUGACAUUUGGUGUAGCACAAAUGAGUGCAAAUGGAGCAUCUGAUGGUUUUCUUGUGGCAGAUAUUAAUAGUUGUGCCAAAUGUCAUUUUGUUGGAAGUUAACCAUAUGUCCAAUUGUUUCUCCAUUUAUGUGUGUGUGUGUGUGUGUGAAAAAUCAGUAUUCUAGUUAAGGUUCUUAUGUUAUAAUUUGGUUGUUGUGUCUUUUUAGUAUCUUUUAGUCUAGAACAAUUUUCCAUCUUUUUUAUUUUUCAUGACUUUGAAUUUGUAAAGAGUUAGGUCAGUUGUCUGUUAGAAGAUCUCACUUUCUGGAUUUGUCCAAAAUUUUUCUUGCAUAAUUUAUUUUUGCCUUUAUCCAGAGUCACAAUGCAUAUGUCAAAGCUUGAUUUUUAUAUUCAGGCUAAAUGUUUUUUGGCAAGAGUAUGUUAUAUGUAAUACUGUAUACUUCAUAGUGAAUCAUAUCAAGAAGCAUAUGUCAUAUUGCUUUAGUAGUAUACUUAGUUUGGUUGCUUGUUUGUUGGCAACUGCCAUAUAUUUCCAUUUUCAAAGAAUAUUUUACUCUCUUAAUUAGUAAUCUGUGGGGUGAUACUUUUAGCAUCAAGCAGAUAUUCUAUCCCAAUAACUCACCGAAUACUUAAAUGUAUAAUAUCUUAAAACAAUAUUUAAACCAUAUUGGUUUUGUUUGUAGUACUAUGGAGUGAACUCAGGUGUGCUCUAGUUCUGGGCUGUAUCCCCAUACUGCACUCGACCCUGAGCCACAUCCUCAGCCCUAUUUUGUAUUUUUAUUUAGAGACAGGAUCUCACUCAGUUGCUUUGCUGGGGCUGGCUUUGAAUUCAUGAUUCUCCUGUCUCAGCCUCUGGAGUUCCUGGGAUUACAGGCAUGUGCCACCAUACCCGGUCCUUUUUAUUUUGAGAAAAUGUCUUACUAACUUACUGAAUCCGGCCUCAAACUUGACAUCUUCCUGUCUCUCAGCCUCCUGAGUCUUUGGGAUUACAGAUGUGUACCACUUCACCUGGCUAACCUAUUUAAUUUUACUCAAAACAUUAACCUACCUCUUCAUAAUGGCUUCCUCCUUGACUUCAUUCAUUACCAUAUUAGAGAGGUCUUUUUUUUUUUUUUUUUGUGGUGCUAGUGUUUGAACCCAAGGCUUCUACCAUUGUGCCACAUCCCCAGUCAGAGAGGUCUUUCCCAAUCACCCUGAUGCAUUCUAUAAUAGCUUGUUCUCCUUUUACAUUUCUUUAUCUUCUUCAUGAUGGUCCUUUUGCUGUUCAGUGAAGGUUUACAAAACAAGUACUUUUUGGUUAUUUAAUUAGUAGUAUACUUAAUUAGUAUAGUACUUCAAAAGUUCAGAGAGAUUUUUUUCCUUUUUUUUUAUGUUCUUCCACUCCAAGGUAACUUUUUAAAAACUCUUUCAGUGUUUCCUUUCGUCUUCACUACCUUAUCAUUCUCUGAUGCUGUUUUGUUUAAUUCUCUUAUAAAGCAUGAUGCGAAGAAUUAAAUAUAGUCUUUACAACACUACACAGAAAGAUGAUACUUUCAAAGAUCUAUAAACAUUAGUCUUUUUUUUUUAUUUGUUGAUAGACCUUUAUUUUAUUUAUGUAUUUAUAUGUGGUGCUGAGAAUCGAACCUAGUGCCUCACACAUGCCAGGCAAGUGUGCUACCACUGAGCCCCAGCCCCAGCCCCUAAACAUUAGUCUUUUAAUUUAGUUUCAGAGAAGUUAUUUUUUAGCAGCCAUGUUAUACUGUUGGUUCAUAAGAAAUGCAGUUAAGUCAUAUAGGUCUAUAGAGAUAGAACUUCAUUGUCCUGUGCUGCUACUGAUUUUUUUCCCAAACAUAAUGUGAGUUUUUUUUUUUUUUCCCUUAAGGGAUUUGUGACAAUGACUCUGGAAAGCCCUGAAGAAAUACAGAAUGUCACCUGUGCUUGGAAAGAACUUAACAGAAAGCUGAGUAGUAAUGCUGUGUCCCAAAUUACAAGAAUGUGCCUCCUAAAAGGAAAUAUGGUAGGCUUUUCUAGAUAAUCCAAAAGAUUUUUAAUCAAUGACCACAAGUAUUUAUAAGCAAUAGCCUAAUGGGAUGAAUAAUUCUAUUUUUCUAAGUGUUGGUUUGUUUCCAGUUGUGAAUUUGGGGAAUUAUAUAAUUAAUUCAUUUCUCUAGAGCUAUAAGUCAUUCUGCGUGGUUUGUCUUUCUGUUCCCUGCCCCGCCCCCACAGUGCAAACCAAGGGGAACAAACCAAGAGUCUUGUGCAUGCUCUACCUCUAAGCCACAUUUCCAACCCUGGUUUGAUUAUCUAAAACCCAAGUUAUCUAAGCUUCUGUUUUGGUAUAAAUAUCGUGUAGUUGUGUGUGUUUAUUUUCUAAGAGUAAAUAAUUGCAACAGUUAAAUAGCUAUACAGUUUAGACAACACACAAUAUGUCUGUUAUAAUUAACCUGCUAUUUAUUUGUUGUUAAUUUUAAUAGUAUGAAUUAAAUAAGUAUUUCAACAUUUAUUUAUAUAGCAUAUAAAACUGUAAUCUUUUUUUUUUGGUAUUGGGAAUUGAACCCAGGGUGCUUUACAUUGAUACAUUCCCCAGUCCUUUUGAGUUUUUAUUUUGUGAUAGGGUUUUGCUAAGUUGCUAAGGCUAGUCUUGAACUUGCAAGCCUCCUGAGUUGCUGGGAUUAGAGGUGUGUGCCACUGUGCUCGUAAAAGUGUAAUUUUAGUGACUGUGAUUUCUUCUAAUGGUUUUGAGAAAAGAUGUUAUAUUUAUUUAUCUCACAUUGCUACGUAGGUAGGCUUAUUCUAACAUAGAAUUUAUUAACUAAAUUGUUUAUUGGAAAUAAUCAUCUUUUUAAAGGUUUACUGUUAUUUCUCCUCAACACAGAUUUGAAGCAAAUAGGGAAAACAUACAAACAUUAACAAAAAAACAUAGAGGAGAGGUAAAGCAGAUCCAUAGACCAAACUAGUUAUUGAGUAUUAAAUUAACUUUCAACCAGGACUGAAGAGGAAACAUCUCUGGCUACAUUAGUAUCAUUAUAUGAUAAAUAUUCUACCACUUUUUUUUUUUUUUGUUUUGUUUUGUUUGUUUUUGUGGUUCUGGGGAUUAGAACUCAGGGCUUUCUGCAUGCAAGGCGUGCAUUUUACCAACUAAGUUAUAGCCCCGCCCAAAUUUCUACCUUUUUGACAGAAGCUUUCUGGCUCUAAAUUUUAUUUUAUUUGAAAUUAAAAAAUUAUGUUUAUUUUUGAGAUACGGGGGAUCCAACCCAAAGCUGUCUGCAUGUUAGGCAAGGAUUCUACCAUGUGAGUUAUAUCUCUACUCCCUGCCCCUCCCUCUCUCCCUCCCUCUCUCUUUGUCUUUUUUGGUACUGGGGAUUGAACCCAGAUUGUUUUUUUUUUUUUUUUUUUUUAAUGAGGUAACUUUUAUAUAUAUCUAUCUAUCUUUAUUUUAUUCGUUUUUAAAGAAUUUAUUAGAAGGAUCAUUUUAUAAGGGACAUGGAAUAAAAUUAUAGUGAUUGAAAAAAUAAUACUAGAGAAUAUUCUAGAGUCUUAUUAGUAUAUUCUUUUUUAAAAAAUAUUAUUUUUUUAAUAUUUAUUUUUUAGUUGCAGUUGGACACAAUAUCUUUAUUUUAUUUAUUUAUUUUAUCUGGUGCUGAGGAUCGAACCCAGGGCCUCGCAUGUGCUAGAAAAGUGCUCUACUGCUGAGCCACAACCCCAGCCCCAGUAGAUUCUUAUUAGAUAUUGUAUUUAGUUACUUUUCUGAUUUAGAAAAUACAUUAAGCAGAUACUCUGGAAUACACUUAAUAUUUUUUAUAGCAAAGAUUAUCAGCAAAUAUUAGUUUAUUAGUAAAAAUUAACUCAUGCAUCUAGAUAAAAAUAUUUUUAUUUUGCUUGCUUUUAGGGUGUUUGCUUUGAUGUUCCUACAACCGAGUCAGAAAAGUUACAGGUAUUUAAAAAAAAUUUUUAUCUCCUUCUCUAAAAGAUUGUUUUGAAAAACAUAAUUACUCUAUCAUUAUCAUGCCUAAGUCAGUUAAGAAUUCCUUAAUAUGAAAUAUCCAGUCUGUCUCAUAAUCAAAAAUUUUUUAUUAUAAAUAUUUUAAUCAAAUAAAAUGAUAGAAUUGUCUGAAUUCCCAUGUUCAUGUCAUCAGCUUCAGCUAUUCAUGGCUUGUGUGGUUUUUUGUUUGUUUGUUUGGUACCAGGGAUUGAACUCAGGGGCAUUUGCCCACUGAGCCACAUCCCCAGCCCAUUUUUUUUCCCCCAGCCCUUUUUUGUAUUUUAUUUUGAGAUAGGAUAUCACUGAGUUGCUUAGCGCAUUCCUUUUUGCAUCCUGCCUCAGCCUCCCAAGCCUCUGGGAUUUUAGGCAUUCACCACUGUGCCCGGCUCAUGGCUAGUUUUGUUUCAUCUCUGUUUCUAUCCACUUCCCUGUGUCUUUUAAGGCAUUCUAUCAUUUCAACCAUAAAUAUUUUCAUAUAUUUAAAAAGUAUACCUGUAGUAUCAUAUUUAAAUCUUCCGAAACAAUAAUCCCUAAAUAUUUUGUAUUUAAAUUUCCCCUGUUUUCUCCCCCAUUUUUCCUCCUGGUGCUGGGGAUUGAUCCAAGGGCCUCACACAUGCUAGUCAAGUGUUCUUCAACUGAGCUACACCACCAGCACUCCAGAAAAUUUUUCAUUAAUAAAGUCCAUAAAGUUUAUAUAUUGUAAUUUGUUGUUUUCUAUUUCUCUUUCAAUUUGUAGGAUGUCCUUUCUUUUUCCAAAAAAUUUCCUUGUAUUUUAUAUGUUGAAGAAACAGGUCCACUAGAGUCCAAAAAUUUGUUAUAUACCUUUGUAUAUUUAUAUAGUCACAUAUUUUGAGUCAAUAAUAGGAUUAAUUAUGAAGUCUUUUUUUUAUUUUUGGUACCAGGGAUUGACUCAGUGACACUCAACCACUGAGCCACAUCCCCAGCCCUAUUUUGUAUUUUAUUUAGAGACAGGGUCUCACUGAGUUGCUUAGUGCCUCACUGUUGCUGAGGCUGGGUUUGAACUCAUGAUCCUCCUGAUCCAGCCUCCUGAACCCCUGGGAUUACAGGCCUGAGCCACUGUGCCCAGCAAUUUUGAAGUCUUUUUAAAUAUUAGCAUUAUAUCAUGGAUACAUUCUACAUCAAUUAUAGAUACUCUUUUUUUGUUGGGGGGUGGGUAUUGGGAAUUGAACCCAGGGGGCACUUUACCGCUGAGCUAUAUUCCUUGCCUCCCCCUACCCACCUUUUUUUUUUUUUUUUUAGUUGUAGAUGGACACAGAACCUUUUCUAUUUAUGUCUAUGUGGUGCUGAGGAUAGAACCCAGUGCCUCACACAUGCUAGGCAAGCACUCUACCACAGAGCUAUAACCCCAGCCUUUUUUAAUUUUGAGCCAGGGUCUCUUUAAGUUGCUGAGGCUGUCCUCAAAUUUGGGAUCCUCCUGUCUUGCCCUCCCAGGUCACUGGGAUUACAGGAAUGUGCCACCAUGCCUGGCUACAGUUGCUUAUUUUUUAUGAUGCCCUGGUAUGGAGGCUCAACUUUGAUCACCAGUGUUCUGUUUUCUGAAAUUUAGACUAUUUCCAAUUUAUUAUUAUAAAUAAAACUGCCCAGAAUAUUGAUAUAAGUAAUUCUUCCUGCAUUGCCAUGUUUAAUCUCUUUAAGAUGAAUUUUUUAAUAUGACUGUUGGCCAAAAGGUUUGUGCAUUUUUUUUAAUGUUUAUUUUUUAGUUGUAGUUGGACAUAAUACCUUUAUUUUUUAUUUUUUUUUUUUUAAAUAUUUAUUUAUUUAGUUUUCCGUGGACACAACAUUUUUGUUUGUAUGUGGUGCUGAGGAUCGAACCCGGGCCGCACGCAUGCCAGGCAAGUGCGCUACCGCUUGAGCCACAUCCCCAGCCCCUAUUUUUUAUUUUUAUUGACUUAUUUUUAUGUCAGGAUGAGGAUCACACCCAGGCUCUUGCACGUGUGAGGCAAAUGCUCUACCGCUGAGCCAAAACCCCAGCCCUGGUUUGUGCAUUUUUAAGACUGUGCUCAUAUGUUGCCAAACCUACCAAUGAUUUAUGUGGGUGUUUUUCUCUUCUCAUUCUUAUCAACAGGGCAUUUUACAUUGACUUCCCUUGGCAACUUGUGCUCAUAAUGAACAAUAGUUAUUACCAAGAUAACACAUUGCACUGCUCUUAUGAGCUGCCUUUUUUUUUUUUUUUUUUAGGGGAACACUAAGGAUUGAACCCAGGGCAAGCAUUCUACUACUGAGCACUGUCUCCAUACCACUGAUUCAUGUAUCUUGAGUUGAUUACUCUAGUAAAUUGUUUUUAGUAGCUAUAUUUUUUAGUUCCUGGUUACUGUUGACAGAUUUCUAAUCCCUGUUAUCGGCCGUAAUAUAUCUUGUUUUUGUCAGUAUACCUCUUUAAAAUAAUGGAAUGCUUAUUAAUGCUCUAUUUCUUUGUCCUAAGAAAGCAGAUAGCAGUCUCCUUUAGACCGUCUAAAUUGAUGAGUUUAAAGUCUUGAAAUGGGUCAGAGAGUUCUCCUGAAACUAAAGCUUAGUAACUUUAGUCAUUGAACGUGUUUUCUUUUUCUUUUUUUAAAAUAUUUAUUUAUUUGGUGUAGAUGGACACAACACAAUGCCUUUAUUUUUAUGUGGUACUGAGGAUCGAACCCGGGUCCCGCCUGUGCUAGGCAAGCGCUCUACCGCUGAGCCACAAUCCCAGCCCUGAACAUGUUUUCUUUUUGCUUAUUUUUUGGUUUUCAUUUUUGUUCCAGACACUUUGGAUUUAAGUGAUAGAUGAUCUUUGGCUAACAGAUAAAGGACAUGCAAAAGUAUUCUUUGCUUGCUUAUGGUUUCAAUUUUGCAUUUCUAUUAAUCCUGUAAAUUCUUCUAACAGGCAGAGUGGCAUGAUUCAGAUUGGAUACUCUCAGUGCCAGCCAAAUUACCUGAAAUCGAAGAGUAUUAUGAUGGAAAUACAUCUUCUAAUUCCAGACAAAGGAGUAGUGGCUGGUCAAGUGGCAGGUCUGGCCGGUCAGGUCGAUCAGGUGGUCGAUCUGGUGGCCGGUCAGGUAGACCGAGUCGACAGGGAAGUCGGUCAGGAAGUCGACAAGAUGGUAGAAGACGAAGUGGGAACAGAAAUCGAUCAAGAAGCGGGGGCCACAAACGGAGUUUUGACUGAGCAUUUGAUAGUUAAUCUACCAGUGUGAGCUUGCCUAUGUCUGCCUAAUCAUGUACAUUAUCCACCAAAAAUUAGGUCAUCAUAGUUGAGGUGUGUGUCUGCUGUUUGCAAAGAAGUUGGUCGUAUUUUUUUAAAAAGUAUUUCACAAAAAUGGUUGUAAACAAAUCUACUUAUCCAGUUAUAACUUUGAAUAAAAAAAAC
rnacentral:lncRNA from 1 species